rnacentral:rRNA from 1 species
UACGUGGGGUGCGAGCGUUGUCCGGAAUUAUUGGGCGUAAAGAGCUCGUAGGCGGUCUGUCGCGUCGAUCGUGAAAACUUGGGGCUUAACCCUGAGCUUGCGGUCGAUACGGGCAUGACUGGAGUUCGGCAGGGGAGACUGGAAUUCCUGGUGUAGCGGUGAAAUGCGCAGAUAUCAGGAGGAACACCGGUGGCGAAGGCGGAUCUCUGGGCCUUACCUGACGCUCAGGCGCGAAAGCUAGGGGAGCGAACAGG